ACGAACGCUGGCGGCGCGCCUUACGCAUGCAAGUCGCACGGACCUUCGGGUUAGUGGCGGACGGCUGAGUAACGCGUAGGUAACCUGUCCAGUGGUGGGGGAUAACCCUUCGAAAGAAGGACUAAUACCGCAUGUGAUCCCGGGGUGAGAUUCCCCGGGAUGAAAGCCGCAAGGCGCCACCGGAGGGGCCUGCGUCCUAUCACGGUAGUUGGUGGGGUAACGGCCUACCAAGCCUGUGACGGGUAGCUGGUCUGAGAGGACGACCAGCCAGAAGGGGACUGAGACACGGCCCCUACUCCUACGGGAGGCAGCAGCGAGGAAUCUUGGGCAAUGGGCGAAAGCCUGACCCAGCGACGCCGCGUGAGGGAAGAAGGCCUUCGGGUCGUAAACCUCUUUUGUCGGGGAAGAAGUUCUGACGGUACCCGACGAAUAAGCCACGGCUAACUACGU
rnacentral:rRNA from 1 species